UGUGGGGUAGUGUAGUUGCACGCAGGUUUUUGGUUCCUGAAAAGAGAGGUUGUCUCUUUCCCGCAA
rnacentral:tRNA from 1 species